rnacentral:rRNA from 1 species
GACGAACGCUGGCGGCGUGCCUAAUACAUGCAAGUUGAGCGCUGAAGGUUGGUACUUGUACCAACUGGAUGAGCAGCGAACGGGUGAGUAACGCGUGGGGAAUCUGCCUUUGAGCGGGGGACAACAUUUGGAAACGAAUGCUAAUACCGCAUAAAAACUUUAAACACAAGUUUUAAGUUUGAAAGAUGCAAUUGCAUCACUCAAAGAUGAUCCCGCGUUGUAUUAGCUAGUUGGUGAGGUAAAGGCUCACCAAGGCGAUGAUACAUAGCCGACCUGAGAGGGUGAUCGGCCACAUUGGGACUGAGACACGGCCCAAACUCCUACGGGAGGCAGCAGUAGGGAAUCUUCGGCAAUGGACGAAAGUCUGACCGAGCAACGCCGCGUGAGUGAAGAAGGUUUUCGGAUCGUAAAACUCUGUUGGUAGAGAAGAACGUUGGUGAGAGUGGAAAGCUCAUCAAGUGACGGUAACUACCCAGAAAAGGACGGCUAACUACGU